GAAAGCAAUAUUAUUGAAUCAGUUCAUCCUAAACAUUUGCACUUUGUUUUUCCACAGAGCAAUAAGACAUUAGAAUUGACAGAGAAACCAGACAAGGGGACUGCAUUUGAAGAAGCACAAGAACCAAGAAAUUACAUCAUUCAAUGAGGAAAUGACAACAUAAUCUAAAAUAGAAAUAAAAAACGUCACAAGACAGAAUAGUGAGCUGCAUGCACUUAUCACAGAGUAUAAAGUCACUCCCUCAGAGGAAAAAGACAAGGAUGGCAUGUCUUCAUGUGAGAACUCAGAAGCUAAAUGUACAGAUACCAAAGGGGGA